rnacentral:rRNA from 1 species
AUGUUCCCACCGCCGAAUGCCUUUGGACCACUGCGGCCUCCUCAGCCUCCGCCAUGGCAGUGGCAGUGGCAGCAGCAGCAGCAGCAGCACCACCACCACCACCAGCACCCGCACCAGCACCAGCAGCUCCCUUUCCAGCCUGAGGCGGCGGCACUGGCGGCGGCCAGUUCCUUUUGGCAGCGUGACAAUGUGCGGGAGCAUUUGAAGAAGUUGCAAGAGACGGUCGCGAUUUCAAGCGCUCUGAUAAACGAGCUAGAGGAGAUUGCACUUGUGAGGAAUUCAUCUGAUGCUAGUGCACAAGAACCAGAUUCGUCUGCCGUAGCAUCGUCUUCAGGGUCUGGUGUCUCUUCUGCGGGCAGGCCUUGCCAUUUUUCGGACCUCGCAAGUGAAAUCAAGAUUAGCCAAGACACUCAUGAAUCUCUGGCGACAGAUGCGGCUAAUUAUCUCUGUUCUCAACUUCAGCACCUCCUGGCACCUAUUUCUUCCGCUAUUAACCAAGACGGUCCUUGGGCAGAAAAAUCGGCAAUGGUUUCGUUAGCUCAGAAGCUGCAGAAGUCCAAGAGAAAUAAGCGAUGGAGGAAGAGGAAGAGAAAGCAUGUAGCAGAGCUUUUCCAGAAGGAGAGUGCAGAAUUUGACAGAAUUGAUCAGGAAGCUGAUGAAUGGAGGGCUAGACAAAUUUCUAAUGACAUUGCAAAACGCAAGGUGGAAAGCAUGAAGCAGAUUGCCAAGAAGAAAGCAAAUGAGGAAAGAAAACGUCUAGAAUCUGAGCUCGAGCUUGCUCUAAUGGUCGAGAAACUACAGGAGCUCCGCUCUGUAAGGGUUGAAAAACUGAAGAAACAAGGUCAUUUUCUGCCAGAAGAGGAUGAUAAAUAUCUUGAGCGUGUCAAGGCUGCAGUUGAGGAAGAGGAGCGCCAAGCUGCAACUGCUGCUCGAACUGAUGCUGCGAAGGAUGCUAUUCUCACCGCUGAGGAAUCAAGGAAGGCUGCCCAUCAUACAACUGCUCAAGAAGAUGGCCUUGGACAGCCUAAAAGUGGGUCGGCACCAGAGCAGAACCAAGGAGAUGCAAGCAUAAGUGAGAGAAGUGAUCAUGCAAGUCAAAAGACAGAACAUGAUGGUCAAAAGGUCGAGAUAAAAGGGCCUGGGCAUUCCGAAUCUCUGACCAACCUGCCUUUUGAGUUCUACCACUAUUAUCAUGGAAGUAGCUAUGACCUGGGGACACUCAUUGAGGUACGCAGAAUGUGGGAUUCUUUUAUCAGACCUGGAGGAAGCCGUAUACCUGGCCACUGGGUUCAGCCACCCCCUCCAGCUAAUGAGGUAUGGGCAUCAUAUUUGGUGCAGCCCAAGUAA